GACAGAGGGUGCAAACGUUGCUCGGAAUUACUGGGCGUAAAGGGCGUGUAGGCGGGAAGGCAAGUCGGGCGUGAAAGCCCCAGGCUCAACCUGGGAACUGCACUCGAAACUGCCUUUCUUGAGUGCCGGAGAGGAAAGCGGAAUUCCUGGUGUAGAGGUGAAAUUCGUAGAUAUCAGGAGGAACACCAGUGGCGAAGGCGGCUUUCUGGACGGUAACUGACGCUGAGACGCGAAAGCGUGGGAAGCAAACAGGAUUAAGAAACCCUA
rnacentral:rRNA from 1 species